rnacentral:rRNA from 1 species
UUAAGCGACUAAGCGUACACGGUGGAUGCCCUGGCAGUCAGAGGCGAUGAAGGACGUGCUAAUCUGCGAUAAGCGUCGGUAAGGUGAUAUGAACCGUUAUAACCGGCGAUUUCCGAAUGGGGAAACCCAGUGUGAUUCGUCACACUAUCAUUAACUGAAUCCAUAGGUUAAUGAGGCGAACCGGGGGAACUGAAACAUCUAAGUACCCCGAGGAAAAGAAAUCAACCGAGAUUCCCCCAGUAGCGGCGAGCGAACGGGGAGCAGCCCAGAGCCUGAAUCAGUGUGUGUGUUAGUGGAAGCGUCUGGAAAGGCGCGCGAUACAGGGUGACAGCCCCGUACACAAAAAUGCACAUGCUGUGAGCUCGAUGAGUAGGGCGGGACACGUGGUAUCCUGUCUGAAUAUGGGGGGACCAUCCUCCAAGGCUAAAUACUCCUGACUGACCGAUAGUGAACCAGUACCGUGAGGGAAAGGCGAAAAGAACCCCGGCGAGGGGAGUGAAAAAGAACCUGAAACCGUGUACGUACAAGCAGUGGGAGCCUCUUUUAUGGGGUGACUGCGUACCUUUUGUAUAAUGGGUCAGCGACUUAUAUUCUGUAGCAAGGUUAACCGAAUAGGGGAGCCGAAGGGAAACCGAGUCUUAACUGGGCGUUAAGUUGCAGGGUAUAGACCCGAAACCCGGUGAUCUAGCCAUGGGCAGGUUGAAGGUUGGGUAACACUAACUGGAGGACCGAACCGACUAAUGUUGAAAAAUUAGCGGAUGACUUGUGGCUGGGGGUGAAAGGCCAAUCAAACCGGGAGAUAGCUGGUUCUCCCCGAAAGCUAUUUAGGUAGCGCCUCGUGAAUUCAUCUCCGGGGGUAGAGCACUGUUUCGGCAAGGGGGUCAUCCCGACUUACCAACCCGAUGCAAACUGCGAAUACCGGAGAAUGUUAUCACGGGAGACACACGGCGGGUGCUAACGUCCGUCGUGAAGAGGGAAACAACCCAGACCGCCAGCUAAGGUCCCAAAGUCAUGGUUAAGUGGGAAACGAUGUGGGAAGGCCCAGACAGCCAGGAUGUUGGCUUAGAAGCAGCCAUCAUUUAAAGAAAGCGUAAUAGCUCACUGGUCGAGUCGGCCUGCGCGGAAGAUGUAACGGGGCUAAACCAUGCACCGAAGCUGCGGCAGCGACGCUUAUGCGUUGUUGGGUAGGGGAGCGUUCUGUAAGCCUGCGAAGGUGUGCUGUGAGGCAUGCUGGAGGUAUCAGAAGUGCGAAUGCUGACAUAAGUAACGAUAAAGCGGGUGAAAAGCCCGCUCGCCGGAAGACCAAGGGUUCCUGUCCAACGUUAAUCGGGGCAGGGUGAGUCGACCCCUAAGGCGAGGCCGAAAGGCGUAGUCGAUGGGAAACAGGUUAAUAUUCCUGUACUUGGUGUUACUGCGAAGGGGGGACGGAGAAGGCUAUGUUGGCCGGGCGACGGUUGUCCCGGUUUAAGCGUGUAGGCUGGUUUUCCAGGCAAAUCCGGAAAAUCAAGGCUGAGGCGUGAUGACGAGGCACUACGGUGCUGAAGCAACAAAUGCCCUGCUUCCAGGAAAAGCCUCUAAGCAUCAGGUAACAUCAAAUCGUACCCCAAACCGACACAGGUGGUCAGGUAGAGAAUACCAAGGCGCUUGAGAGAACUCGGGUGAAGGAACUAGGCAAAAUGGUGCCGUAACUUCGGGAGAAGGCACGCUGAUAUGUAGGUGAAG